UGGGGAAUAUUGCACAAUGGAGGGAACUCUGAUGCAGCGACGCCGCGUGAACGAAGAAGGCUUUCGAGUCGUAAAGCUCUUUUAUACGGGAAGAUAAUGAUGGUACCACUAGACAAAGCCCCGGCUAACUACGUGCCAGCAGCCGCGGUAAUACGUAGGGGGCUAGCGUUGUUCGGAUUCACUGGGCGUAAAGGGUUCGCAGGCGGAAAUGCAAGUCAGGUGUAAAAGGCAGUAGCUGAACUGCUGUAAGCAUUGGAAACUGCAUAUCUUGAUAAGAGGAGCGGUAAGUGGAAUUGUUUGGGUAGCGGUGAAAUGCGUAGAUAUUAAAACGAAUACCGGUGGCGUAGGCGACUUAGUCGAAUCAUUAUGACGCAGAGGAAAGAAAGGGUGGGUUGGAAACGGG
rnacentral:rRNA from 1 species